UACGGAGGGUGCGAACGUUAAUCGGAAUUACUGGGCGUAAAGCGCGCGUAGGCGGUUCGUUAAGUGAGGUGUGAAAUCCCCGGGCUCAACCUGGGAAUGGCAUUUCAGACUGGCGGACUCGAGUACGGUAGAGGGGGGUGGAAUUUCCUGUGUAGCGGUGAAAUGCGUAGAUAUAGGAAGGAACACCAGUGGCGAAGGCGGCCCCCUGGACUGAUACUGACGCUGAGGUGCGAAAGCGUGGGGAGCAAACAGG
rnacentral:rRNA from 1 species